rnacentral:rRNA from 1 species
GAUGAACGCUGGCGGCGUGCCUAACACAUGCAAGUCGAACGAGUGGCGGACGGGUGAGUAAUGUCUGGGAAACUGCCCGAUGGAGGGGGAUAACUACUGGAAACGGUAGCUAAUACCGCAUACCAUCGGAUGUGCCCAGAUGGGAUUAGAUAGUUGGUGGGGUAAAGGCCUACCAAGGCGACGAUCCGUAACUGGUCUGAGAGGAUGAUCAGUCACACUGGAACUGAGACACGGUCCAGACUCCUACGGGAGGCAGCAGUGGGGAAUAUUGCACAAUGGGCGCAAGCCUGAUGCAGCCAUGCCGCGUGUAUGAAGAAGGCCUUCGGGUUGUAAAGUACUUUCAGCGGGGAGGCGUUACCCGCAGAAGAAGCACCGGCUAACUCCGUGCCAGCAGCCGCGGUAAUAC